rnacentral:pre_miRNA from 1 species
UAGGUACUCCCUCCGUCCAGAAAUAUUUGUUCUCAAAAUGGAUAAAUUGGAUGUAUCUAUAACUAAAAUAAGUCUAGAUACAUCCAUUUCUAGGACAAGUAUUUCUGGAUGGAGGGAGUAUUAA